rnacentral:misc_RNA from 1 species
GACAAUGGCAAGAACAAGGAAUGCGGCACCACAGCUCACGUUGUCUUCAGCAUAAACUAUAACUGUAACACCAAGAAUUAGGCCGCAAGCAGUUGCCACGUUCCACCAGUUGAAGUAGGACAUCUUCUUCUUCCUUUCCUCCGAGUGACCACCGUCGAAUUGAUCUGCUUCAAAGCUCUCAAGGCAUGGCUUGUAUCCUCCAGUUCCAAGAGCGAGACAAUAUAUAGCAAGGA